AUUAUUUUGGCAGAUUAAGUGCGUUAAAUUUAGAAUUUAAUUAUAUAUAUUUAAAUUGUAUAUAAAUAAUA
rnacentral:tRNA from 1 species